rnacentral:rRNA from 1 species
GAUGAACGCUGGCGGCGUGCCUAAUACAUGCAAGUCGAGCGAACGGACGAGAAGCUUGCUUCUCUGAUGUUAGCGGCGGACGGGUGAGUAACACGUGGAUAACCCACCUAUAAGACUGGGAUAACUUCGGGAAACCGGAGCUAAUACCGGAUAAUAUUUUGAACCGCAUGGUUCAAAAGUGAAAGACGGUCUUGCUGCCACGUAUAGAUGGAUCCGCGCUGCAUUAGCUAGUUGGUAAGGUAACGGCUUACCAAGGCAACGAUGCAUAGCCGACCUGAGAGGGUGAUCGGCCACACUGGAACUGAGACACGGUCCAGACUCCUACGGGAGGCAGCAGUAGGGAAUCUUCCGCAAUGGGCGAAAGCCUGACGGAGCAACGCCGCGUGAGUGAUGAAGGUCUUCGGAUCGUAAAACUCUGUUAUUAGGGAAGAACAUAUGUGUAAGUAUCUGUGCACAUCUUGACGGUACCUAAUCAGAAAGCCACGGCUAACUACGUG